rnacentral:rRNA from 1 species
GAUGAACGCUGGCGGCGUGCCUAAUACAUGCAAGUCGAGCGAACAGACGAGGAGCUUGCUCCUCUGACGUUAGCGGCGGACGGGUGAGUAACACGUGGAUAACCUACCUAUAAGACUGGGAUAACUUCGGGAAACCGGAGCUAAUACCGGAUAAUAUAUUGAACCGCAUGGUUCAAUAGUGAAAGACGGUUUUGCUGUCACUUAUAGAUGGAUCCGCGCCGCAUUAGCUAGUUGGUAAGGUAACGGCUUACCAAGGCAACGAUGCGUAGCCGACCUGAGAGGGUGAUCGGCCACACGGGAACUGAGACACGGUCCAGACUCCUACGGGAGGCAGCAGUAUGGAAUCUUCCGCAAUGGGCGAAAGCCUGACGGAGCAACGCCGCGUGAGUGAUGAAGGUCUUCGGAUCGUAAAACUCUGUUAUUAGGGAAGAACAAAUGUGUAAGUAACUAUGCGCGUCUUGACGGUACCUAAUCAGAAAGCCACGGCUAACUACGUG